AGUGAACGCUGGCGGUAGGCCUAACACAUGCAAGUCGAACGGCAGCACAGUAAGAGCUUGCUCUUACGGGUGGCGAGUGGCGGACGGGUGAGGAAUACAUCGGAAUCUACUUUUUCGUGGGGGAUAACGUAGGGAAACUUACGCUAAUACCGCAUACGACCUACGGGUGAAAGCAGGGGAUCUUCGGACCUUGCGCGAUUGAAUGAGCCGAUGUCGGAUUAGCUAGUUGGCGGGGUAAAGGCCCACCAAGGCGACGAUCCGUAGCUGGUCUGAGAGGAUGAUCAGCCACACUGGAACUGAGACACGGUCCAGACUCCUACGGGAGGCAGCAGUGGGGAAUAUUGGACAAUGGGCGCAAGCCUGAUCCAGCCAUACCGCGUGGGUGAAGAAGGCCUUCGGGUUGUAAAGCCCUUUUGUUGGGAAAGAAAAGCAGCAGGUUAAUACCCCGCUGUUAUGACGGUACCAAAAGAAUAAGCACCGGCUAACUUCGUG
rnacentral:rRNA from 1 species